rnacentral:siRNA from 1 species
GCGGUUCCAAAUAUCUCUCAUGAA